CCUACGGGUGGCAGCAGUGGGGGAUAUUGCACAAUGGGGGAAACCCUGAUGUAGCGACGCCGCGUGAGUGAAGACGUCUUUCUGUAUGUAAAGCUCUAUCAGCAGGGAGGAAAAUGACAGUACCUGACCAAGACUCCCCGGCUAACUACGGGCCAGCAGCCGCGGUAAUGCGGAGGGGGCAAGCGUUAUCCGGAUUUACUGGGUGUAAGGGGAUCGUAGACGGUUAUGUAAGUCUGGAGUGAAAGCCCGGGGCGCAACCCCGGGACUGCUUUGGAAACUGUGUAACUGGAGUACAGGAGGGGCAGGCGGAAUGUCUGGUGUAGCGGUGAAAUGCGUAGAUAUCAGGCGGAACACCGGCGGCGAAGGCGGCCUGCUGGACUGAAACUGACGUUGAGGCUCGAAAGCGUGGGGAGCAAACAGGAUUAGAUACCCGAGUAGUC
rnacentral:rRNA from 1 species